UACAGAGACUGCAAGCGUUAUUCGGAUUCACUGGGCGUAAAGCGUGCGCAGGCGGUCCGCAAAGUCUGAUGUGAAAGCCCCGGGCUCAACCUGGGAACUGCAUUGGAAACUAACGGGCUCGAGUGUGGCAGAGGGGGGUGGGAAUUCCACGUGUAGCAGUGAAAUGCGUAGAGAUGUGGAGGAACACCGAUGGCGAAGGCAGCCCCCUGGGCUAACACUGACGCUCAGGCACGAAAGCGUGGGGAGCAACAGG
rnacentral:rRNA from 1 species